GGGGAUUUAGCUCAGUGGUAGAGCACUUGCCUAGGAAGCACAAGGCCCUGGGUUCGAUCUUCAGCUCCA
rnacentral:tRNA from 1 species